AAACGUCGUGAUUUGGAGUAUUAAGUCUUUCCCGGUCCGAUACAUGAAGAUCAUUGAGAAAAGUGGUUACCAGGCCCUGCCCUGGGUUCGCUACAUCACCCAGAGUGGCGAUUACCAACUUCGUACCAGCUAGAAGGGAGAAGAGAUGGGGGCUUGAACACGGGGCUUCCUUACAGCCCCGGAUGCAGAUUUUAGAGGGAGGGCAGGUGCGGGCUGUGUGUGUCUGUGUGAGGGCAGGUCCUGGACUUGGCAGUUUCUUGCUCCCAGCACCCGCCCCUUCCUCACCUCUUCCUUAUUCCAUAGGCUGGGAGAGAAACUCUCUCUGCUUCCCUCGCCCUUGGAGCUUUCCCCAUCCCCCUGAUUUUAUAUGAAGAAAUAGAAGAGGGGCUUGAAGUCCUCCUCGCGAGUGCCUUCUUGCAAUUACCUGCCUUAGCGGGUGUUGCGGGUCCCUCCUUCACAGCCGCUGAGCCCAGAGGUCCCGCUGGCCCCUCCUCUGAAUUUUAGGAUGUC
rnacentral:lncRNA from 1 species